CAUCUGGGAGGGAGACUCCAUGCUGCUCCAGUGCUCCGUGUUCUCCUGGACCCCAGCCACCCACAUCAUCUUCUGUAAGGACGGGGAGGAGAGUUCAUCCCAGAGAAAUUUACCUGUUGGUCAACCGGGAGAGCUGCUACCUCAUUCCCCUGGACCCCAAAAUUAGGAUUUAACUGAUACACUUUAACAGAAAUAGUUUAAGGUGAACAGGAAGAAGGGCUGAAGGGUGACCAGGAGGGGAUUCCUGCUGGGGCUCUUGUUGCCCCUGUGGUGCACGAUGCAAGACACAAGUAGUGUGCCAUGUGAAAGGGAGGACUGGAUACUAAUAGGGCCAGUCCACUGAUCCUAGACAGCUUAAAGGAUCUGUGAAACUCUGUAUCCACUUCAUUGGAUAUAACAAAAUAACUGGGUCAAGAAUACACAAGCCUGUUAAUAAAUGGUAUCAAAAUAAAGCAAUUGGAGGAAAGUUGUUGGAGAGACUGGAGCCUGGCUGGGUCCCUAACGUGUGUCAUUAAUCUAUGGGCAACUGCAGCACAUUGUUGUAUUUGGUGUCUGUGAUAAGCACCUUCCAUUCAGGCUAAACACAGGAACCAUUAAAUGCCCUUUUGUGUAGUUCCACCUGAAGCAAUGGGAAACCAAACCAC